UACGUAGGGUGCGAGCGUUAAUCGGAAUACUGGGCGUAAAGCGCGCGCAGGCGGGAAGGUAAGUCUGGAGUGAAAUUCCGGGGCUCAACUCCGGAGCUGCUUUGGAUACUGUCUUUCUAGGGACCGGUAGAGGCCGGUGGAAUUCCCGGGUGUAGCGGUGGAAUGCGUAGAGAUCGGGAAGAACACCCGUGGCGAAGGCGGCCGGCUGGGCCGGACCG
rnacentral:rRNA from 1 species